CGUGAGUGGUGUUUGGCGUGUAUUGGCAUGUCGGAUCCUUGCUAGGGCAUUGACGACAUCUCAUGCAAGCCUCUUCAUUCAUUGGCUCAAGUGCUUCUUUGCCUUGGCCGACGUUGGGUUUCCUGUGUUGAAUACCUAAAMUGAGGGCAUACGGUCGGUUAAAAUGUCCCAAUUCCGCCUUGUGCUGUGCCUCUCUCGAGAACGCGGCGCAGGGUGGACCUCAAAGCACACGCUGUGUUCCACUCCCCUUGCAAGUGUUGUUUCACAUGCUUGGGUUGUUGGCACAUGGUGUCGUGCUCGAUCUCUCGGAUUCGGAAUAUAAAGGUGGGUACGAGGCAUUGACCUCUAUUUGCCCUGAAACAAGUGUUCGACGCUUUGUGCGAACGACUGCCGCUUUCGUUUUGAUGGAGUCCUCGUGGCUUUGCUCAUGCGGGAGCGGUGUCGAUAAGGAAUGCUACCUGGUUGAUCCUGCCAGUAGUCAUAUGCCUUUGUCUC
rnacentral:misc_RNA from 1 species